AAUACACAAUAAAAAUAAAAACAAAAUGAAAACAGGAAACAGGAAACAGAAAACACCUACAAGUUCAUGUCUAAAAGGUCAACAAGUGCUAUUAAUAAAAUAUUCUUUCUAUAAUUUAAGUGGUGUUAUCAAGACAGAUGUUACAUUAAUAAACAUUAUCUCUACAUGCAGCUCAUGUUCGGAGACCAAAACAGCAAUUACACAGAAGCAAGACAGUGUAAAAACAUUUCAUUAUUUUUGCUUGAUCUCAGUGCAAAGAUUUUGAUUCUCUUUGGAAGUUAGAAGAGAGUGUUGCAAUCAUUUUUGUGAGAGGACGUUCCUUUCCUGGAAAGGUAACACCCGGUUUAAAAAUAAAAUUAAAAAAACCUUCCUGUUAGUAGAGACUGUAUAUAAAGGCCGGAUGUGCUGCUCUUUUCAGAGCACUGAUCAGGGCUAGUGACUGACUGACGCUGCUGCAAAAACUCUACAGUCAGCUAAAUACAAACAGGUAAUAGAUACAGAGACAGUGUAACAGCAUGGCCACUGCAGCUGAAAAAGACACAGUAUGGAUCGGGUUCAUGGACAUCGUUCCAGUCAUCGGGACGGUAAAAGAGGCAGUGGAGCUGGUGCUGGCUCUGUACGAAGGGAAUAAAGCGGUGAUAAAGGAGAAAGAGAAGGCCAUUGAAAACAUUCUAAAAGAGUCAUUAAAAAAACAUGAGAAGGAAAACUAUGUGAAAAAGUUGACUCUAGCUGAUAAACCAGCAGCAGCUGCAGAUGAAUUUUCUGGACUCAGAAAUGUGAGAGAGGUCAGAAAGGAAAUGAUUAUUGAG
ensembl:lncRNA